rnacentral:rRNA from 1 species
AUUGAACGCUGGCGGCAUGCCCUACACAUGCAAGUCGAACGGCAGCAUGGAGAGCUUGCUCUCUGAUGGCGAGUGGCGAACGGGUGAGUAAUGCAUCGGAACGUACCGUGUAAUGGGGGAUAACGUAGCGAAAGUUACGCUAAUACCGCAUACGACCUGAGGGUGAAAGCAGGGGAUCGCAAGACCUUGCGUUAUACGAGCGGCCGAUGUCAGAUCAGCUAGUUGGUGAGGUAAAGGCUCACCAAGGCGACGAUCUGUAGCGGGUCUGAGAGGAUGAUCCGCCACACUGGGACUGAGACACGGCCCAGACUCCUACGGGAGGCAGCAGUGGGGAAUUUUGGACAAUGGGGGCAACCCUGAUCCAGCCAUGCCGCGUGAGUGAAGAAGGCCUUCGGGUUGUAAAGCUCUUUCGGCCGGGAAGAAAUCGCACAGGCUAAUACUCUGUGUGGAUGACGGUACCGGCAUAAGAAGCACCGGCUAACUACGUGCCAGCCGCCGCAGUAA